rnacentral:lncRNA from 1 species
GAAGGUGCACACAGUUAAGGUUGAAGGCAAGAGCGAGAGGUUGCUGGUGAACAAUGGCGGUGGUCUUCACUCGAUGCUGGAAGAAAGACUUGCAAAGGAAGUCCCAUUGGAGAUGGUUCCGACGAGGACCUUCCGACGUUCAAGUCAGCGAGGUGACUCAAUAUAAUAAAAAGAACAGUAGAAUUUUAGCACUGUGUUGGCCAACAUACCUAGAGGGGUCUCCACUUACCUCUUUCAUAGAGAGAGCAAAGUGAAUGAUGAGAGGACAGAUGAUCACGUCAAUCAUGUCCUAUCAGUCGUAUGGCGCCGCAUGAACGUUUGGCUCUGACAGCGGGUGUGCCUUCUAUUCGACACGCAGGCGGCCGUGGCGACGAGCC